AUACCACUGCCACCGGGUAGAGUAAUGCAGAUGCAUUCGGUACACAUCGUUAGGUCUUAGAAGAUGUGUGCGCGAAUGCUUUUUUCUUU
rnacentral:ncRNA from 1 species